UGGGGAAUAUUGGACAAUGGCCUAAAGCCUGAUCCAGCCAUGCCGCGUGAGUGAUGAAGGCCUUAGGGUUGUAAAGCUCUUUCAGUAGGGAAGAUAAUGACGGUACCUACAGAAGAAGCCCCGGCUAACUUCGUGCCGGCAGCCGCGGUAAUACGAAGGGGGCUAGCGUUGUUCGGAUUUACUGGGCGUAAAGCGCACGUAGGCGGAUCGUUAAGUCGGGGGUGAAAUCCUGGAGCUCAACUCCAGAACUGCCUUCGAUACUGGCGAUCUUGAGUCCGGAAGAGGUGAGUGGAACUCCUAGUGUAGAGGUGGAAUUCGUAGAUAUUAGGAAGAACACCAGUGGCGAAGGCGGCUCACUGGUCCGGUACUGACGCUGAGGCGCGAAAGCGUGGGGAGCAAACAGGAUUAGAUACCCUGGUAGUCCACGCCGUAAACUAUGAGAGCUAGCCGUUGGAGGGUUUACCCUUCAGUGGCGCAGCUAACGCAUUAAGCUCUCCGCCUGGGGAGUACGGUCGCAAGAUUA
rnacentral:rRNA from 1 species